GAUGAACGCUGGCGGAGGGUUGAAUACAUGCAAGUCGAGCGAACAGACGAGUAGCUUGCUCCUCUGACGUUAGCGGCUGACGUGUGAGUAACACGUGGAUAACCUACCUUUAAUACUGGUAUAACUUCGGGAAACCGGAGCUAAUACCGGAUAAUAUAUUGAACCGCAUUGUUCAAUAGUUAAAUACGGUUUUUCUGUCCCUUCUAGAUUUCUCCUCGCCGCAUUAGCUCGUUGGUAAGGUAACUGCUUACCAAGGCGACGAUGCGUAGCCGACCUGAGAGGGUGAUCGGCCACACUGGAACUGAGACACGGUCCAGACUCCUACGGGAGGAAGCAGUAGGGAAUAUUCAGCAAUGGGCGAAAGAAGGAAGGAGAAAAGCCGCGUGAGGGAUGAAGGGAGGAGGAUCGUAAAACUCUGUUAUUAGGGAAGAAAAAAGGGGUAAGUAACUAUGAAAGGAGGGACGGGAAAGAAUAAGAAAGACACGGCUAACUAAGUG
rnacentral:rRNA from 1 species